rnacentral:rRNA from 1 species
UAGACUCCUACGGGAGGCAGCAGUGGGGAAUNUUGCACAAUUGGGACGGGAAGCCUGUGNAGCGAAACGCCGCGUGCGGGAUGAACGGCCUUCGGGUUGUAAACCGCUUUCGCCUGUGACGAAGCGUGAGUGACGGUAAUGGGUAAAGAAGCACCGGCUAACUACGUGCCAGCAGCCGCGGUGAUACGUAGGGUGCGAGCGUUGUCCGGAUUUAUUGGGCGUAAAGGGCUCGUAGGUGGUUGAUCGCGUCGGAAGUGUAAUCUUGGGGCUUAACCCUGAGCGUGCUUUCGAUACGGGUUGACUUGAGGAAGGUAGGGGAGAAUGGAAUUCCUGGUGGAGCGGUGGAAUGCGCAGAUAUCAGGAGGAACACCAGUGGCGAAGGCGGUUCUCUGGGCCUUUCCUGACGCUGAGGAGCGAAAGCGUGGGGAGCGAACAGGCUUAGAUACCCUGGUAG